rnacentral:rRNA from 1 species
GACGAACGCUGGCGGCGUGCUUAACACAUGCAAGUCGAACGGAAAGGCCCUGCUUUUGUGGGGUGCUCGAGUGGCGAACGGGUGAGUAACACGUGAGUACCCUGCCCUUGACUUUGGGAUAACUUCAGGAAACUGGGGCUAAUACCGGAUAGGAGCUCCUGCUGCAUGGUGGGGGUUGGAAAGUUUCGGCGGUUGGGGAUGGACUCGCGGCUUAUCAGCUUGUUGGUGGGGUAGUGGCUUACCAAGGCUUGGACGGGUAGCCGGCCUGAGAGGGUGACCGGCCACGUUAGGACUGGGAUGCGGCCCGGACCCGUACGGGAGGGAGCGGUGGGGUAGAGUGUAUUAGGGGCGGAGCCCUGGUGCAGUAACGCCGUGUGGGGGGAGUGAGGAUGCGGGUAGUGUAGCGAUUCCGUCUUUGCCGAGACGAGAGUGACGGUAACGGGUGAAGAAGCACCGGCUAACUACGUG